rnacentral:rRNA from 1 species
CAUCUAAGUAUUAAAGGUGCCGCCUGCCCAGUGAGACAUUUAACGGCCGCGGUAUUAUAACCGUGCAAAGGUAGCGUAAUCACUUGUCCACUAAAUAUGGACCAGUAUGAAUGGCUAAAUGAGGACUAACCUGUCUCCCUUGUCCAAUCAAUGAAACUGAUCUUUCAGUUAAAAAGCUGAAAUAUUUCCAUAAGACGAGAAGACCCUGUGGAGCUUCAAAUUACCAUCAAUAGCACUACAAAUGCUACAUGAUCAAAAAUUUUAAGUUGGGGCAACUUCGGAAUUAAACAAAACUUCCGAGAACAAGACACUUCAUCUAACCAAGGCGGACAAGCCAAAGGAAAAAGUGACCCAGUACAACUGAUAAACGAACCAAGUUACCCCAGGGAUAACAGCGCCAUCUUCUUCAAGAGUUCAUAUCGACAAGAAGGCUUACGACCUCGAUGUUGGAUCAGGACAACCCAACGGUGCAGCCGCUGUUAAAGGUUCGUUUGUUCAACGAUUAAUGUCCUACGUGAUCUGAGUUCAGACCGG